CACCUUGUCUAUGGAGUUAAAGAUAAUUGGAAAUGAUGAUUUUUAAACUUUAUUUAAAAACUUCACUCCCCCCCCCGCACAAAUUUAAUUUGUGCGGGAGGGGGGAAUGAUGAUUCCCCCCCCCGGGGGGGAAACUUCAUUCCCAAUAAAAUUUAUUUUAUUGGAAAUGAUGAUUUUUAAACUUUAUUUAAAAAACUUUAUUUAAAAAACUUCAUAGGGUAGCGGAACAUUCAGUGUAUGAAGGAAGAGUAGUGUUUCAUUACUGGGACAUAACUGAAGAGAUAAUGCCUGACACGAGUAACGUAAAAGGAGGUGAGAAUCCUCCUCGCCGAAAGCAAAAGGGUUUCAAAGUUAAGAUGAUCUGCUUUGAGUAAAGUAACGGCCUCUAAGUUUUAAUCCGACAGGGUUUAACGAUGAGAAAAUCUUCUCGUUGAAAAAAAACCUUUAAAUAUCUCUAAUUAAUAUUUUUAGAAUAAGUAUGAAUAAUUGCAUUUUAUCACAAUCAAAAUAUACAUCUAUCGGUUUCAAAACUAAAAAAA
rnacentral:ncRNA from 1 species